UUAUGCAUUGAGCUCCUCAUUAAACAGAGAAUGCAAAGCAACAAGAGACAAAGAGCAAUUGUCCAUCAUCAUUGAAAAUGAGCUGCCGGUGGGACACAUUAAAAGCAUUGACAUCAGAGGUCUGGUAUGUCUCCGUCACUGUUCCCAAGAUGCUGGAUGGGUUCCUCCUGCAGAGACGGCACAUCUCCUUCGCAAGCUGCAUGACUCAGCUCUACUUCUUUAUCUCCCUCGCCUGCACAGAGUGUGUUCUCCUGGCAGCCAUGGCCUAUGACCG
rnacentral:lncRNA from 1 species